ensembl:snRNA U6 U6 spliceosomal RNA
GUGCUCCGUUUGGCAGCACAUGUACUAAAAUUGGAAUGAGACAGAGAAGAUUAGCAUGGCCCCUGCACAAGGAUGACACGCAAACUCAUGAAGCGUUCCAUAUUUUU